rnacentral:rRNA from 1 species
GACGAACGCUGGCGGCGUGCUUAACACAUGCAAGUCGAACGGAAAGGCCCUGCUUUUGUGGGGUGCUCAAGUGGCGAACGGGUGAGUAACACGUGAGUAACCUGCCCUUGACCUUGGGAUAACUUCAGGAAACUGGGGCUAAUACCGGAUAGGAGCUCCUGCUGCAUGGUGGGGGUUGGAAAGUUUCGGCGGUUGGGGAUGGACUCGCGGCUUAUCAGCUUGUUGGUGGGGUAGUGGCUUACCAAGGCUUUGACGGGUAGCCGGCCUGAGAGGGUGACCGGCCACAUUGGGACUGAGAUACGGCCCAGACUCCUACGGGAGGCAGCAGUGGGGAAUAUUGCACAAUGGGCGGAAGCCUGAUGCAGCAACGCCGCGUGCGGGAUGACGGCCUUCGGGUUGUAAACCGCUUUCGCCUGUGACGAAGCGUGAGUGACGGUAAUGGGUAAAGAAGCACCGGCUAACUACGUG